UAGGGAAUCUUCGGCAAUGGACGAAAGUCUGACCGAGCAACGCCGCGUGAGUGAAGAAGGUUUUCGGAUCGUAAAACUCUGUUGUUAGAGAAGAACAAGGAUGAGAGUAGAAUGUUCAUCCCUUGACGGUAUCUAACCAGAAAGCCACGGCUAACUACGUGCCAGCAGCCGCGGUAAUACGUAGGUGGCAAGCGUUGUCCGGAUUUAUUGGGCGUAAAGCGAGCGCAGGCGGUUUCUUAAGUCUGAUGUGAAAGCCCCCGGCUCAACCGGGGAGGGUCAUUGGAAACUGGGGAACUUGAGUGCAGAAGAGGAGAGUGGAAUUCCAUGUGUAGCGGUGAAAUGCGUAGAUAUAUGGAGGAACACCAGUGGCGAAGGCGGCUCUCUGGUCUGUAACUGACGCUGAGGCUCGAAAGCGUGGGGAGCAAACAGG
rnacentral:rRNA from 1 species